rnacentral:rRNA from 1 species
UACAGAGGAUGCAAGCGUUAUCCGGAAUGAUUGGGCGUAAAGCGUCUGUAGGUGGCUUUUUAAGUCUGCCGUCAAAUCCCAGGGCUUAACCCUGGACAGGCGGUGGAAACUACCAAGCUGGAGUACGGUAGGGGCAGGGGGAAUUUCCGGUGGAGCGGUGAAAUGCGUAGAGAUCGGAAAGAACACCAACGGCGAAAGCACUCUGCUGGGCCGACACUGACGCUGAGGAGCGAAAGCGUGGGGAGCGAACAGG